rnacentral:rRNA from 1 species
GACGAACGCUGGCGGCGCGCCUAAUACAUGCAAGUCGAGCGAGAAGACGUAGCAAUACGUUUGUAAAGCGGCGAACGGGUGAGGAAUACAUGGGUAACCUACCCUAGAGUGGGGAAUAACUAGCCGAAAGGUUAGCUAAUACCGCGUACGCUCCUUGGACUUCGGUUCAGGGAGGAAAGCGAUGCCGAGGGUAUCGCGCUCUUGGAUGGGCUCAUGUCCUAUCAGCUUGUUGGUGAGGAACGGCUCACCAAGGCUUCGACGGGUAGCUGGUCUGAGAGGACGAUCAGCCACACUGGCACUGCGACACGGGCCAGACUCCUACGGGAGGCAGCAGUAAGGAAUAUUGCGCAAUGGGCGAAAGCCUGACGCAGCGACGCCGCGUGGGGGAGUG